AUUGAACGCUGGCGGCGGGCCUAACACAUGCAAGUCGAACGAGUGGCGGACGGGUGAGUAAUGUCUGGGAAACUGCCUGAUGGAGGGGGAUAACUACUGGAAACGGUAGCUAAUACCGCAUAUCAUGAGAUGUGCCCAGAUGGGAUUAGCUUGUUGGUGUGGUAACGGCUCACCAAGGCGACGCUCCAUAGCUGGUCUGAGAGGAUGACCAGCAACACUGGAACUGAGACACGGUCCAGACUCCUACGGGAGGCAGCAGUGGGGAAUAUUGCGCAAUGGGCGCAAGCCUGAUGGAGCCAUGCCGCGUGUAUGAAGAAGGCCUUCGGGUUGUAAAGGUCUUUCAGCGGGGAGGCGUUACCCGCAGAAGAAGCACCGGCUAACUCCGUGCCAGCAGCCGCGGUAAUAC
rnacentral:rRNA from 1 species